rnacentral:rRNA from 1 species
GGGGGGGGCAAGCGUUGUUCGGAAUUACUGGGCGUAAAGGGCGCGCAGGCGGGCGGGAAAGUCUCUCGUGAAAGCCCACGGCUCAACCGUGGAAUUGCGGGAGAUACUACUCGUCUUGAGUCCGGGUGAGGAGUGUGGAAUUCCCAGUGUAGCGGUGAAAUGCGUAGAUAUUGGGAGGAACACCGGUGGCGAAGGCGGCACUCUGGACCGGUACUGACGCUGAGGCGCGAAAGCUAGGGGAGCAAACGGGAUUAGAUACCCCGGGUAGUCCUGGCUGUAAACGCUGAGCACUUGGUGUAGCGGGUAUCGACCCCCCUGCUGUGCCGAAGCUAACGCAUUAAGUGCUCCGCCUGGGGGAGUACGGUCGCAAGGCUG